CCACAAUGUGGACUUUUUUAUCCAAUUACACAAAACCACCCAAACCCAUGGAGAAGAAGAAGAAGGAGAAGAAGGUGAAAAAGAAGGAGCAGCCUCCACCCUAAAACCUCCAUCUUGCUUUAUAUCUAUUACUAUAUUCUAGAACCUUAAACUCUAGGUUUUCCACCCUGUGAUAUCACACACUUCUAUUCAAACUCCACACCCACAAUCCCAGUGCUGUCAUUCCAUUUUGGAAGCCUUCUCCACAGCCUCAGGUGGAAU